UACGUAGGGGGCAAGCGUUGUCCGGAUUUAUUGGGCGUAAAGAGCGUGUAGGCGGUCAGGUAGGUCCGUUGUGAAAACUCGAGGCUCAACCUCGAGACGCCGAUGGAAACCAUCUGACUAGAGUCCGGAAGAGGAGAGUGGAAUUCCUGGUGUAGCGGUGAAAUGCGCAGAUAUCAGGAGGAACACCUAUGGCGAAGGCAGCUCGCUGGGACGGUACUGACGCUGAGACGCGAAAGCGUGGGGAGCGAACAGG
rnacentral:rRNA from 1 species